UGUGCUCGCCAGAGUCUAGUUUUAGCUCAUCGGAGUCAGUGUCGCUGCUUUAAUCCAGCUCAAACAGGUGUAAUUCAUUCUUUUCCUUCACUGUGUUCAACCUCGUGAUUCAUUUCUGGUAUCCGACUUAUUUUAAUCAUUUAAGUUUAGAUGUGGAUUCAUGUUCUAGUUGAAUUGUUGUGUUAAAUUGCGUAGUUUCUAGUUUAGCAGGUUUAAUUAAUUGUUGAUUCAUGCUUUUUUUAUUGGCAUAGUCAGUUCUGUCUAGUUUUUGUAUAUUAGCCAUUUGUCAAUUCAGUUUAGUUAGUUGUUGUUUUGUAAAUGUUUGAUCCUGCUAAGUGAAAGAAGGCAAUUGAUUUCAGAAGUUAGUAAUUGUUGAGGUAAAAGAAAAGGUUAAAAGAAGGGUAUUAACAGGAACUUGAGGGGGCUAAAGGAAAUAGAAAUCUUGGGAAUCAUGGGUGUAACUGACUUGUAAUAUUCUAUAAUAGGGCAGUAAAGGUUGGAAAGCAAUAAAACAGUAAACAUUAGGUAAAAAGCGGACUUAAGGGUUAAAACACAUAAAAUAAAAUGGACUGGAAAGAAAGAGAAAUAACAGAACAAGGCAGUUGGCAUUCUGCUAUAAGAGCAGUACAUUCCCUCAUGAUUACUCACGCAUUCACUGAUUAUUCUCACACAUUCACUGGCAAUUCAUUUUCUCACUCUCACUCACUCUCAUACACGCUAAAAACACCUUAGUAGCAGCUGGAAAAUAAAAAAUCCAGAUCUGAACUUCAAAAAAUUUCAAAAACCAAAAGCUGAAAAUAAAAGGAAUCAGAAGCUGAUCCAAAUCUCAGCUCAUUUACUUUACAUUCUCUGGGAGUUUCAAGGUGGUAGAAGUGUUGUCUGUUUGCUAUUGUUUGUUGGAUUUACUAGCUGGGCUUCCUCUCAUUUCUCCUUGCCUUUAUUUGGCCAUUUGCUGAUUGUUUCCUGCUAGUAGGUAUGUAAAGUUCCUCCUGUAACUCUUGUGAAUGUAGAAAUGAAGAGUUGAUGUGUUGAUUCCCUGACUAUGCCUACUUCUAUAUGUUCCUGAUAUUUGAAUGUGAGAUCUGUUCAUCUUUGCUUCUUGAUGAGUAUCUGAUUAUGCUUGUUUAUUUGAGCUGAAUAUCUAAGUUAGAAUUACUCACUAACUAGACUAGUUGCUAUUGAUAAUGUUCUAUUGCAUUUAAGCAUGUUGAUAAUCAACAUAUCGGCAUGUUUAAACAUCUCGUGACAUCAUUAGAUCUGUACCUAACUGUAUCUGUUGUUUUCUCAUGAUAAAAUUUCUGCUGUAGUAUAGAAUAUACAACAUGUUGAGACGUAGUUUGUUCGUCUAGCUAGAAACAGAAUUGGAGUUAGAGAUUUUCUGGUUAAAGAUGAAGCUGAAAGGAACGUCCAUCUAUGUCUCCCUAUUCUGAUUAUUGCGCAUUUGCAUAUAGAAAUCUGAAGAAGGAACAGAGAAAAGAUCAUUUGUAUACUGUUUUAAUUCAUUUAGUUUAGAAUUUGUGAAGCCAUUUUUCAUGAGUCUAAGGAUUGAAUUAGAGAGUUUGUAAUAACUUAGUUCAUUAGUUUUUUUUGUAAUUAAUCAGGGGUUACA
rnacentral:lncRNA from 1 species